ACUAGCUGACGAGUCCCAGAUAGGACGAGACGCUCGUCCUGUAU
rnacentral:hammerhead_ribozyme from 1 species